rnacentral:rRNA from 4 species
UUAAGCGACUAAGCGUACACGGUGGAUGCCCUGGCAGUCAGAGGCGAUGAAGGACGUGCUAAUCUGCGAUAAGCGUCGGUAAGGUGAUAUGAACCGUUAUAACCGGCGAUUUCCGAAUGGGGAAACCCAGUGUGAUUCGUCACACUAUCAUUAACUGAAUCCAUAGGUUAAUGAGGCGAACCGGGGGAACUGAAACAUCUAAGUACCCCGAGGAAAAGAAAUCAACCGAGAUUCCCCCAGUAGCGGCGAGCGAACGGGGAGGAGCCCAGAGCCUGAAUCAGUGUGUGUGUUAGUGGAAGCGUCUGGAAAGGCGCGCGAUACAGGGUGACAGCCCCGUACACAAAAAUGCACAUGCUGUGAGCUCGAUGAGUAGGGCGGGACACGUGGUAUCCUGUCUGAAUAUGGGGGGACCAUCCUCCAAGGCUAAAUACUCCUGACUGACCGAUAGUGAACCAGUACCGUGAGGGAAAGGCGAAAAGAACCCCGGCGAGGGGAGUGAAAAAGAACCUGAAACCGUGUACGUACAAGCAGUGGGAGCACAGAGCAAUCUGUGUGACUGCGUACCUUUUGUAUAAUGGGUCAGCGACUUAUAUUCUGUAGCAAGGUUAACCGAAUAGGGGAGCCGAAGGGAAACCGAGUCUUAACCGGGCGUUAAGUUGCAGGGUAUAGACCCGAAACCCGGUGAUCUAGCCAUGGGCAGGUUGAAGGUUGGGUAACACUAACUGGAGGACCGAACCGACUAAUGUUGAAAAAUUAGCGGAUGACUUGUGGCUGGGGGUGAAAGGCCAAUCAAACCGGGAGAUAGCUGGUUCUCCCCGAAAGCUAUUUAGGUAGCGCCUCGUGAAUUCAUCUCCGGGGGUAGAGCACUGUUUCGGCAAGGGGGUCAUCCCGACUUACCAACCCGAUGCAAACUGCGAAUACCGGAGAAUGUUAUCACGGGAGACACACGGCGGGUGCUAACGUCCGUCGUGAAGAGGGAAACAACCCAGACCGCCAGCUAAGGUCCCAAAGUCAUGGUUAAGUGGGAAACGAUGUGGGAAGGCCCAGACAGCCAGGAUGUUGGCUUAGAAGCAGCCAUCAUUUAAAGAAAGCGUAAUAGCUCACUGGUCGAGUCGGCCUGCGCGGAAGAUGUAACGGGGCUAAACCAUGCACCGAAGCUGCGGCAGCGACACUGUGUGUUGUUGGGUAGGGGAGCGUUCUGUAAGCCUGUGAAGGUGUACUGUGAGGUAUGCUGGAGGUAUCAGAAGUGCGAAUGCUGACAUAAGUAACGAUAAAGCGGGUGAAAAGCCCGCUCGCCGGAAGACCAAGGGUUCCUGUCCAACGUUAAUCGGGGCAGGGUGAGUCGACCCCUAAGGCGAGGCCGAAAGGCGUAGUCGAUGGGAAACAGGUUAAUAUUCCUGUACUUGGUGUUACUGCGAAGGGGGGACGGAGAAGGCUAUGUUGGCCGGGCGACGGUUGUCCCGGUUUAAGCGUGUAGGCUGGUUUUCCAGGCAAAUCCGGAAAAUCAAGGCUGAGGCGUGAUGACGAGGCACUACGGUGCUGAAGCAACAAAUGCCCUGCUUCCAGGAAAAGCCUCUAAGCAUCAGGUAACAUCAAAUCGUACCCCAAACCGACACAGGUGGUCAGGUAGAGAAUACCAAGGCGCUUGAGAGAACUCGGGUGAAGGAACUAGGCAAAAUGGUGCCGUAACUUCGGGAGAAGGCACGCUGAUAUGUAGGUGAAGUCCCUCGCGGAUGGAGCUGAAAUCAGUCGAAGAUACCAGCUGGCUGCAACUGUUUAUUAAAAACACAGCACUGUGCAAACACGAAAGUGGACGUAUACGGUGUGACGCCUGCCCGGUGCCGGAAGGUUAAUUGAUGGGGUCAGCGCAAGCGAAGCUCUUGAUCGAAGCCCCGGUAAACGGCGGCCGUAACUAUAACGGUCCUAAGGUAGCGAAAUUCCUUGUCGGGUAAGUUCCGACCUGCACGAAUGGCGUAAUGAUGGCCAGGCUGUCUCCACCCGAGACUCAGUGAAAUUGAACUCGCUGUGAAGAUGCAGUGUACCCGCGGCAAGACGGAAAGACCCCGUGAACCUUUACUAUAGCUUGACACUGAACAUUGAGCCUUGAUGUGUAGGAUAGGUGGGAGGCUUUGAAGUGUGGACGCCAGUCUGCAUGGAGCCGACCUUGAAAUACCACCCUUUAAUGUUUGAUGUUCUAACGUGGACCCGUGAUCCGGGUUGCGGACAGUGUCUGGUGGGUAGUUUGACUGGGGCGGUCUCCUCCUAAAGAGUAACGGAGGAGCACGAAGGUUGGCUAAUCCUGGUCGGACAUCAGGAGGUUAGUGCAAUGGCAUAAGCCAGCUUGACUGCGAGCGUGACGGCGCGAGCAGGUGCGAAAGCAGGUCAUAGUGAUCCGGUGGUUCUGAAUGGAAGGGCCAUCGCUCAACGGAUAAAAGGUACUCCGGGGAUAACAGGCUGAUACCGCCCAAGAGUUCAUAUCGACGGCGGUGUUUGGCACCUCGAUGUCGGCUCAUCACAUCCUGGGGCUGAAGUAGGUCCCAAGGGUAUGGCUGUUCGCCAUUUAAAGUGGUACGCGAGCUGGGUUUAGAACGUCGUGAGACAGUUCGGUCCCUAUCUGCCGUGGGCGCUGGAGAACUGAGGGGGGCUGCUCCUAGUACGAGAGGACCGGAGUGGACGCAUCACUGGUGUUCGGGUUGUCAUGCCAAUGGCACUGCCCGGUAGCUAAAUGCGGAAGAGAUAAGUGCUGAAAGCAUCUAAGCACGAAACUUGCCCCGAGAUGAGUUCUCCCUGACCCUUUAAGGGUCCUGAAGGAACGUUGAAGACGACGACGUUGAUAGGCCGGGUGUGUAAGCGCAGCGAUGCGUUGAGCUAACCGGUACUAAUGAACCGUGAGGCUUAACCUU